rnacentral:rRNA from 1 species
AUUGAACGCUGGCGGCAUGCCUUACACAUGCAAGUCGAACGGCAGCACGGGAGCAAUCCUGGUGGCGAGUGGCGAACGGGUGAGUAAUAUAUCGGAACGUGCCCAGUCGUGGGGGAUAACGUAGCGAAAGCUACGCUAAUACCGCAUACGAUCUAUGGAUGAAAGCGGGGGAUCGCAAGACCUCGCGCGAUUGGAGCGGCCGAUAUCAGAUUAGGUAGUUGGUGAGGUAAAGGCUCACCAAGCCGACGAUCUGUAGCUGGUCUGAGAGGACGACCAGCCACACUGGGACUGAGACACGGUCCAGACUCCUACGGGAGGCAGCAGUGGGGAAUUUUGGACAAUGGACGCAAGUCUGAUCCAGCCAUUCCGCGUGCAGGAUGAAGGCCCUCGGGUUGUAAACUGCUUUGUACGACGAAAAGGUUUCUAUUAAUACUAGGAGCUCAUGACGGUACCGUAAGAAUAAGC